rnacentral:rRNA from 1 species
CCAAUAGCGUAUAUUAAAGUUGUUGCAGUUAAAAAGCUCGUAGUUGAAUUUCGGGGUUAGUAGGUUGGUCAUGCCUCUGGUAUGUACUGGUCUCACUGAUUCCUCCUUCCUGAUGAGCCGUAAUGCCAUUAAUUUGGUGUUGCGGGGAAUCUGGACUGUUACUUUGAGAAAAUUAGAGUGUUUAAAGCAAGCCAACGCUUGAAUACAUUAGCAUGGAAUAAUGAAAUAGGACGUUCGAUCCUAUUUUGUUGGUUUCUAGGAUUGACGUAAUGAUUAAUAGGGAUAGUUGGGGGCAUUAGUAUUCAAUUGUCAGAGGUGCAAUUCUUGGAUUUAUUGAAGACUAACUACUGCGAAAGCAUUUGCCAAGGAUGUUUUCAUUAAUCAAGAACGAAAGUUAGGGGAUCGAAGACGAUCAGAUACCGUCGUAGUCUUAACCAUAAACUAUGCCGACUAGGGAUCGGAUGAUGUUAAUUUUUUAAUGACUCAUUCGGCGCCUUACG